GACAGAGGAUGCAAGCGUUGUCCGGAUUUAUUGGGCGUAAAGAGCGUGUAGGCGGCCAGGUAGGUCAGCUGUGAAAACUCGAGGCUCAACCUCGAGACGUCGGUUGAAACCAUCUGGCUAGAGUCCGGAAGAGGAGAGUGGAAUUCCUGGUGUAGCGGUGAAAUGCGCAGAUAUCAGGAAGAACACCCGUGGCGAAGGCGGCUCUCUGGGACGGUACUGACGCUGAGACGCGAAAGCGUGGGGAGCGAACAGG
rnacentral:rRNA from 1 species